CAUGGAGGAGGAGUAAGAUGAUGGCGAGAUGGUGUGGUCAUGAGAUCGGAGGGGAGGAGGACACAGGAAGCGGAUAUUGGCAUGGAGAAUGAAUGGAUAGAUGGCGUGCAGAGAGAACAGCAGGGUGGGAGGUGCAACUUGGCCACAGAGCGGGGGCGAAAUGCAUCGCUGUGUGACAUUUUUAACCCUUGGUGUUUCAGUAAUUAGCUGAAAAAAACAUACAACACUGUCCUUACCUUGCUGACCACUCAGUGCAGCUAACAUCAUGUAUGCAGCCCUGUCAGCUACUAGAGGUGGGACUGACUGAAAGAAUGGCGUAGCACAGUGCUCCAUUGGCAUCUUCUUGUAACGCAGCUUCCUCAGGUCCCUGCGGCUCAACUUGCCAUCUUUGUUCUUGUCCAGUUCUGUAAAUCUUUGCUAAAGAAACAGAGGAAAUAAAUAUCAAGAGAAAACUGUU